GACGAACGCUGGCGGCGUGCUUAACACAUGCAAGUCGAGCGGUAAGGCCCUUUCGGGGGUACACGAGCGGCGAACGGGUGAGUAACACGUGGGUGACCUGCCCUCAGCUCUGGGAUAAGCCUGGGAAACCGGGUCUAAUACUGGAUAUGACUCCAUGACGCAUGUUGUGGGGUGGAAAGCCUUGUGCGGCUGAGGAUGGGCCCGCGGCCUAUCAGCUUGUUGGUGGGGUGANGGCCUACCAAGGCGACGACGGGUAGCCGGCCUGAGAGGGCGACCGGCCACACUGGGACUGAGACACGGCCCAGACUCCUACGGGAGGCAGCAGUGGGGAAUCUUGCGUCAAUGGGCGAAAGCCUGACGCAGCGACGCCGCGUGAGGGAUGACGGCCUCGGUGUAACUCUUCUACGCUCCGACGAACGACGAGAAGUAGACGGUA
rnacentral:rRNA from 1 species